rnacentral:rRNA from 1 species
UGGGGAGCAAACAGGAUUAGAUACCCUGGUAGUCCACGCCGUAAACGAUGAUUACUAGGUGUUGGUGGGUAUGACCCAUCGGUGCCGCAGCAAACGCAAUAAGUAAUCCACCUGGGGAGUACGUUCGCAAGAAUGAAACUCAAGGGAAUUGACGGGGACCCGCACAAGCGGUGGAGCAUGUGGUUUAAUUCGAAGCAACGCGAAGAACCUUACCUGGUCUUGACAUCCCUAUGAAUAACGGGCAAUGCCGUUAGUACUUCGGUACAUAGGAGACAGGUGGUGCAUGGUUGUCGUCAGCUCGUGUCGUGAGAUGUUGGGUUAAGUCCCGCAACGAGCGCAACCCUUAUCUUUAGUAGCCAGCAGUAAGAUGGGCACUCUAGAGAGACUGCCGGGGAUAACCCGGAGGAAGGUGGGGAUGACGUCAAAUCAUCAUGCCCCUUAUGACCAGGGCUACACACGUGCUACAAUGGCGUAAACAAAGAGAAGCGAAGUCGUGAGGCAGAGCGAAUCUCAAAAAUAACGUCUCAGUUCGGAUUGUAGUCUGCAACUCGACUACAUGAAGCUGGAAUCGCUAGUAAUCGCAGAUCAGAAUGCUGCGGUGAAUACGUUCCCGGGUCUUGUACACACCGCCCGUCAGACCAUGGGAGUCGGAAAUGCCCGAAGUCGGUGACCUAACCGAAAGGAAGGAGC